GGCGAAGCGACCUGGGUUUGCCUUGGCAGCCAGAAUGCAACGGUGAGGAUGCACGUUCUGAAAUCCUAAACCAUGAGUCUAGCGCUGAAUGACCUGCUCAUCUGCUGCCGGCAGUUAGAACAUGACAGGGCUACAGAACGAAGGAAAGAAGUGGAUAAAUUUAAGCGCCUGAUUCAGGAUCCUGAAACAGUUCAACAUUUGGAUAGGCAUUCUGACUCCAAACAAGGGAAAUAUCUGAAUUGGGAUGCUGUUUUCAGGUUUUUGCAGAAGUACAUUCAAAAGGAAACAGAAAGUCUUAGAACAGCAAAAUCAAAUGUCUCAGCCUCUACACAAACCUCCAGACAGAAGAAGAUGCAAGAGAUUAGCAGUCUGGUCAGAUUCUUCAUCAAAUGUGCAAAUAAAAGAGCACCCAGGCUAAAAUGUCAGGACCUCUUGAAUUACGUCAUGGAUACAGUGAAAGACUCAUCUAAUGGCGCAACUUACGGAGCUGACUGCAGCAACAUUCUUCUCAAAGACAUCCUGUCUGUGAGGAAAUACUGGUGUGAAGUGUCUCAGCAGCAGUGGCUAGGUAGGUUUGAAGGCUGUGAGUCUGAAUCGCACGGAUGGCUCAGAGUUUAACAUUACAUCGAUGAAAUCAUAUCACUGUGGUUUCAGAGCCUGAAUUCUCUUACACCUUGCUGUGUAUCCUGUUCUGGCCUUCAGCUUGGAAUCCUCCCGCCUUGGUGUGCCAAAGCUGGAGUCAGAGGUAUACACGACCAUGCUCAGUUCUUACUUUUCAUUUACUUUGUACUCUCAAAAGUAUCAAGACACGUAUGUGCAUGGUAGGUGCUUACCACUGGAACUGGAGUUACCGGUUUCAAAGAUUACUGCUCCGUUUUCAACUGUUCAGCAGUCCAGUGACUGAAAAAAAAAAAAAAAAAA
rnacentral:lncRNA from 1 species